rnacentral:misc_RNA from 1 species
UUUCCGUAGGUGAACCUGCGGAAGGAUCAUUAUUGUAUAACCGAGGUGCGAGUGCUGUCGCUGACCCGAAAGGUCGUGCACGCCCGAGUGCCCUCACACACAUCCAUCUCACCCCUGUGUGCACCACCGCGUGGGUCCCCCUUUGGCUUGUUCGGAGGGGGGCUUACGUUGUCACACAAACUUUGUAUGCAGUGUAGAAUGUAUUUUUUGUUUUUGCGAUCACGCAAUCAAUACAACUUUCAACAACGGAUCUCUUGGCUCUC